GCUGGGCACAGUGGUGCAUGCCUGUAGUCCCAGCUACUUGGGAGGCUGAGGCUAGAGGAUCACUUGAGUCCAGGAGUUCUGGGCUGUAGUGCGCUAUGUCAAUCGGGUGUCUGCACUAAGUUCAGCAUCAAUAUGGUGACCUCCCGGGAGUGGGGGACCACCAGGUUGCCUAAGGAGGAGUGAACUGGCCUGGGUUGGAAACAGAGCAGGUCAAAACUCCCGUGCUGAUCAGCAAUGGGAUUGCGCCUGUGAAUAAUAGCCACUGUACUCCAGCCUGGGCAACAUAGCAUGACCCUGUCUCU
rnacentral:SRP_RNA from 1 species